rnacentral:rRNA from 1 species
CAGUCGCCGCGGGAAUACGCAGGUGGCAAGCGUUGUCCGGAAUUAUUGGGCGUAAAGGGCUCGCAGGCGGUUUCUUAAGUCUGAUGUGAAAGCCCCCGGCUCAACCGGGGAGGGUCAUUGGAAACUGGGAAACUUGAGUGCAGAAGAGGAGAGUGGAAUUCCACGUGUAGCGGUGAAAUGCGUAGAGAUGUGGAGGAACACCAGUGGCGAAGGCGACUCUCUGGUCUGUAACUGACGCUGAGGAGCGAAAGCGUGGGGAGCGAACAGGAUUAGAUACCCCCGUAGUCCCUGUCUCUUAUAC